CAGCAGCCGCGGGAAUACGAAGGGUGCAAGCGUUAAUCGGAAUUACUGGGCGUAAAGCGUGCGUAGGCGGUGAGUUAAGUCUGCUGUGAAAUCCCCGGGCUCAACCUGGGAAUGGCAGUGGAUACUGGCUCGCUAGAGUGUGUCAGAGGAUGGUGGAAUUCCCGGUGUAGCGGUGAAAUGCGUAGAGAUCGGGAGGAACAUCAGUGGCGAAGGCGGCCAUCUGGGACAACACUGACGCUGAGGCACGAAAGCGUGGGGAGCAAACAGGAUUAGAUACCCGGGUAGUCCCUGUCUCUUAUAA
rnacentral:rRNA from 1 species